rnacentral:tRNA from 1 species
UUCUUCGUGGUGUAACGGUAGCACACUCGGCUCGUAUUCGAGAGGUCUAGGUUCGACCCCCAUCGAGGGCA